rnacentral:lncRNA from 1 species
GUAUGACGGCGCCACCGUCGAUGUGUCAACCGUCGAUCUGUCAACGGUGGACCUUAUAUAAAGCGGCGCGCGCGCACGACUCGGGUCAUUCGUUCGCCGACCGUUGCCGAGUGCACACCUCCCACAAAUUCGUGAUAAAUAAUUGUAGUGACUAAUAUUGUGUUAAUUGGAAUAAACCAAGUGAUUGUGUGAAGACCUCUUUGUUUUAUUUAACGAUGUCGGAUCCUGACGCCGACAUCAGAAGUGGGAUGCAAUCCGAAUGCCCACAUCUGUUAAGGAUUGCCCUGCAUCGCCCACUUGUUCAAAAUGUGAAGAUUCUAGUGGCAAAAGUUGAUACGCCUGAUGCAACACUGCUAUCGCAUUGAAUCAAGCCAGGCAAGCACAAGCAAGAAUCCUGGGUGGUGAAUCUCGUACUGCAACAUGAUGUUGGUUGGUUGGUGAAUGACCAGACUGAUUUCGGGAGAACCCGCCACGUGAAGAUAAAUUGCCUACCCACUAAAAAAAAAAGAAAAAAAAAUGGAAGUCGAUAAUUUAAAAUGGAGUUUGUAGUAGAAGAUUUAUUAAGAAUUUCAGCGAAGGUACAAGUAUGGUAACCACGGUUAUGGUAAUGGUAUCGGUUUCCAUUGUUACAUGUCAAGCUAGUUAUUGAAGGUAUGCUAGAAAAUUAACCGAAUUUGUCUUUUUUUUUUCUUCAUGUUUCAACAAUGACGGUGAUUAUUGUGCAAUAUGGCGAGAAAAUUACGACGUUGAAUGGAGCAUCCCAGCUGCCUGCCAGGAGCCCAAUGUGUCAUUGUGAGGUCGGAGUGUUGGUGCUCGUGCAUCUCCGUGGCUUCACGUCCGCGAAAGCUUUGCUAUACUGCGCGCCAUAGCGAUGUUCGAUCGUCACGCACGUUGAGUGGAAAACCCGGUGAGACCAAUCCAUUGUUCAAUCCAUAGUUUUAUGUUGAGGUUAUUUUUUACACGAGGUUAUUAAACGUGGAACUGCCUCGUUGACUAGUGGUAUUGGUAGAUAUGAACUGUGUCGUUGGUUUACUUGUGCGACUGUUGUGCGCGGGGUCUCGGGUCGGGACGAGCUCGCUUUGCUGGUUUUGGAAAUUUUCACAAGGCAGCCCGGAGCCUGGAAGAUGCUGCUUGACGCACCCUUCAUUGGAGAGCGCAUUGAUGUCGGUCCUCCUUGUGGUUUCACUCUGGUUGUGUUAGGCUGUCGCUAUGAGAUUGAAGGAAUAGGGUACAUCUGUGUCUGCGCAGGUGCCUGCGCACUAUAAUAUGUGCGCGGCUGGCUGAUCUCGUAAUAAGGGCUAAUUAUACGAUCGCCGUGGUCAACAAUCAGCUGGCACACCAUUAUUGUCAGUGGUAGUUAACUAGUGUAAUCACCGAUGCUGAGAACUAGGUCCACGGGUUCUGAUUAAUAUCUUUCAGUUACAUAGAAUAAUUCAAUAUACGUCAGACUAUAGAUUUGUUGGCAAGGUGUUGUUACUUCUUACGCCUACUUAGUGAUUUUUUUGUGUUAUGCUGUACCUAUGAUGGGUGUCGGGGUGACUUGAAAAAGACCCGUUGGCCUGUGCGAUAGCAGCGUGGUGAUCAGGAAGAGACUCGUGUAAAUCUGUGUGAGUACAGUUAGUGUCAUGUUACUGUGGUUCCUAGAAAACCAGGAUGGGAUGAUAAGUCGGCUAAGGGACACAAAGGUCAUGUAAAGCCUGUCGAGUGGAAGGCGUUCGUGUGAGUGACAAUCGUAGUCGUAAUUAACAAUUUGAAAGUCGGACUAACUGUUGGAUCUUUCUUUUAUUUCAUGCUUGGCAGCUGAUGUGACCGGUUUCUUCGUUUGAAAGGUGUUGCUGUUCAUGAAAUCCGUAACUGGUGGUAGUGCAGCACGUGAUUGCGUAGGAAGGAUGUGUCAGGGGAGUAGGUCUAUUUGCGGUUGUAGAGAAUGAUUCGAACGUUGCGCGACGAGCUCAUAGAAGUUCAUUAUAAUCAUCAUCAUACCGGUCUAUGGUCGUCCCCUGUUGAACGUAGGUCUCUUCCAGUGAACGUCAUCCAUCCAGGUCUUGGGCAGCCCGCAUCUAUCCACUACCUGUCACUCUCUUCAGAUCGAUGUUGUUGAUGUUGAUUGAGUAGCAAAUAGUACCAGGUUCAGUGCAGCGUACCGCAUACCAAUCGAGCUUAUAUUUUAUUUCUAGCGAGGAUGACGAUCUAGCGAUUUUCAGAUCUAGCGAGGAUGACUCUGCUUAGUCGUAGAUAGAAAUUCGAGAUACAGCAAACGGAAUGAUUUAGGAGGAAAAUAGCUUCGACAAAACAGCGUUUUAGUCUUGGAGUGACAACAGUGAGAUUUUUCUUGAAGAAGAUUUUGUUCGUCUAAUUUGAGCGGAAGAAACCGAAACUGAAUUGUGUAGCAAUUUCUAAGGCUUUUGCUUUCAUUGUAAUAGACGUAGAUAAUGAUGAGUACGAAUAAUAUGAUAGGUAUCUUCUAUGAGGUUUCUUGACGAUUAUUCUCCAUGGGAACAACAGUAUGGUCCCGUGCAACUAGUGUCGUGAAAUUUUAUAGGAAAUCGCUAAAGUUCAUUUGAAACCAUCUCAUAAUGAAUUCGAGUAGUAGUAAGAGCACUCGAAAAGUGCUGUAGUAACAUACCAGCAGUGUGAUUCUAUAAGACUUCACUCUAAACUUCGCAUCUGAAUCCGCCGUAAGUUUCGUGAUUGGCAUUCUCAAACUACACUAUCGCUACUCUUGUGAGCGUGUUUGCGAGUUGAACUAAAUUAACCUCGAGAUUUUGACAGAUCAAGUAUGAGAUGACUGUUAGAACGUUUUGAACCGAAUGCGAAGUGAGACUGAAUAGCGAAGUGAAAUGCGAGUUGUUGUCUGAAUUUUAUAGAAUUGACGUACUGGUGCCCGUGUAAGCUUACUUGAAGUGGCUUGUAUUCCAACUAAGGACUCAGGAGGCCGAGACGGCGGCUCACGAUCAUGGAAGGUAUAAGGUGUCAUCUGAUAAUGACGGUGACAGUGACGAAUUUCAAUAAUGUUCUUUGACCUGUACUUAUAUGACACGACUUCAGAAAUGAUCAUGAUGUUUGACUGACAUGACUUCAAAAAGUGAUGAUUGGUGGACUUAAUGUAACUAACUUAACUGAACUGGCUCGCAAGGCCGUAUUCCAUGACAUGUGACAAGUGUGACAAACCUUGGGGAGUGCCCUGACACGUGACUGGUGUGACUGAUUUUAGGAACUGGCUCUCUGGGUCAAUGUUCCACGACGUGUGACAUAAUGAGUCAUGUUAAGAGCUGGCCUUAACGGGUCAUAGGUUCUGGUGACUAACUGACUAUUUUGUGUAGACUAUGUGAGAUUUUGUGAAAAAAAAAAGUAAGAUAAAAAAAAAGAUAAUAAAAAGGGAAAAAAAGUAAUAAAAAAAAUGGUUUAACAGUCUCCGGUUGUAAUACCGAUGAGAAUGGUUUAAGUCUCCGGUUGUAGAACUGAUGAGAAGGGUUUAACAGUCUCCGGUUGUAGAACUGAUGAGAAGGGUUUAACAGUCUCCGGUUGUAAAACUGAUGAGAAAGGUUUAACAGUCUCCGGUUGUAAUACCGAUGAGAAUGGUUUAACAGUCUCUGGUUGUAAAAAAGGGCUUGCCGGAGCAGCACAUUUAAGUCUGUUGUGAUUGACCUCGCAACUUAAAGAUUUGACUGACUGAUUUGACUUGAUUUGAUGUGACUGAGUAUGUCAGGAUGAUCGAGCAGUUUGCUGUCUUGUUUUCAGAAGACGCUCGAGGACGAGCGUAUGUCAGCAUGGCCGUGACGGCGCCACCGUCGAUGUGUCAACCGUCGAUCUGUCAACGGUGGACCUUAUAUAAAGCGGCGCGCGCGCACGACUCGGGUCAUUCGUUCGCCGACCGUUGCCGAGUGCACACCUCCCACAAAUUCGUGAUAAAUAAUUGUAGUGACUAAUAUUGUGUUAAUUGGAAUAAACCAAGUGAUUGUGUGA